UGCCAGCAGCCGCGGUAACACGAACUGUGCGAACGUUAUUCGGAAUUACUGGGCGUAAAGCGCACGUAGGCUGACUGGUCAGUUGGGGGUGAAAUCCCGGGGCUCAACCUCGGAACUGCCUUCAAUACUGCCAGUCUUGAGUCCGAGAGAGGUGAGUGGAAUUCCUAGUGUAGAGGUGAAAUUCGUAGAUAUUAGGAAGAACACCAGUGGCGAAGGCGGCUCACUGGCUCGGUACUGACGCUGAGGUGCGAAAGCGUGGGGAGCAAACAGGAUUAGAUA
rnacentral:rRNA from 1 species